rnacentral:rRNA from 1 species
UAGAGUUUGAUCCUGGCUCAGGACGAACGCUGGCGGCGUGCCUAAUACAUGCAAGUCGAGCGGACAGAAGGGAGCUUGCUCCCGGAUGUUAGCGGCGGACGGGUGAGUAACACGUGGGUAACCUGCCUGUAAGACUGGGAUAACUCCGGGAAACCGGAGCUAAUACCGGAUAGUUCCUUGAACCGCAUGGUUCAAGGAUGAAAGACGGUUUCGGCUGUCACUUACAGAUGGACCCGCGGCGCAUUAGCUAGUUGGUGAGGUAACGGCUCACCAAGGCGACGAUGCGUAGCCGACCUGAGAGGGUGAUCGGCCACACUGGGACUGAGACACGGCCCAGACUCCUACGGGAGGCAGCAGUAGGGAAUCUUCCGCAAUGGACGAAAGUCUGACGGAGCAACGCCGCGUGAGUGAUGAAGGUUUUCGGAUCGUAAAGCUCUGUUGUUAGGGAAGAACAAGUGCAAGAGUAACUGCUUGCACCUUGACGGUACCUAACCAGAAAGCCACGGCUAACUACGUGCCAGCAGCCGCGGUAAUACGUAGGUGGCAAGCGUUGUCCGGAAUUAUUGGGCGUAAAGGGCUCGCAGGCGGUUUCUUAAGUCUGAUGUGAAAGCCCCCGGCUCAACCGGGGAGGGUCAUUGGAAACUGGGAAACUUGAGUGCAGAAGAGGAGAGUGGAAUUCCACGUGUAGCGGUGAAAUGCGUAGAGAUGUGGAGGAACACCAGUGGCGAAGGCGACUCUCUGGUCUGUAACUGACGCUGAGGAGCGAAAGCGUGGGGAGCGAACAGGAUUAGAUACCCUGGUAGUCCACGCCGUAAACGAUGAGUGCUAGAGUGUUAGGGGGUUUCCGCCCCCUUAGUGCUGCAGCUAACGCAUUAAG